rnacentral:rRNA from 1 species
UACAGAGGUCUCAAGCGUUGUUCGGAUUCAUUGGGCGUAAAGGGUGUGUAGGUGGCGCCGUAAGUCGGGUGUGAAAUUUCGGAGCUUAACUCCGAAACUGCAUUCGAUACUGCGGUGCUUGAGGACUGGAGAGGAGACUGGAAUUCAUGGUGUAGCAGUGAAAAUGCGUAGAGAUCAUGAGGAAGACCAGUGGCGAAGGCGGGUCUCUGGACAGUUCCUGACACUGAGACACGAAGGCCAGGGGGAGCAAAACGGGG